AUACGGGGGGAGCAAGCGUUGUCCGGAAUUAUUGGGCGUAAAGGGCACGUAGGCGGUUUCUUAAGUCGAAUGUGAAAUCUCACGGCUCAACCGUGAAACUGCGUUCGAAACUAAGUGACUUGAGUUUGGGAGAGGUGUACGGAAUUCCUGGUGUAGCGGUGGAAUGCGUAGAUAUCAGGAAGAACACCAAUGGCGAAGGCAGUACACUGGCCUGAAACUGACGCUGAGGUGCGAAAGCGUGGGGAGCAAACAGGAUUAGAUACCCCAGUAGUCC
rnacentral:rRNA from 1 species